AGUGGCGGACGGGUGAGGAAUACGUAGGGAUCUGCCCUUAAGUGGGGGAUAACCCGGGGAAACCCGGAUUAAUACCGCAUGAUCUCGCAAGAGCAAAGAGGGGGACCGCAAGGCCUCUCGCUUUUGGAGGAACCUACGUCGGAUUAGCUAGUUGGUGAGGUAACGGCUCACCAAGGCGACGAUCCGUAACUGGUCUGAGAGGAUGAUCAGUCACACCGGAACUGAGACACGGUCCGGACUCCUACGGGAGGCAGCAGUGGGGAAUAUUGGACAAUGGGCGAAAGCCUGAUCCAGCAAUACCGCGUGUGUGAAGAAGGCCUUCGGGUUGUAAAGCACUUUAAGUUGGGAAGAAAAAGCUUCACCUAAUACGUGGAGCCUUGACGGUACCGACAGAAUAAGCACCGGCUAACUCUGUGCCAGCAGCCGCGGUAAUACAGAGGGUGCUAGCGUUAAUCGGAUUUACUGGGCGUAAAGCGUGCGUAGGCGGUUUGAUGAGUCGAUUGUGAAAGCCCCGGGCUCAACCUGGGAAUUGCGGUCGAUACUGUCAGACUCGAAAACGGUAGAGGGAGGCGGAACUCCAGGUGUAGCGGUGAAAUGCGUAGAUAUCUGGAAGAACACCGAUGGCGAAGGCAACCUCCUGGGCCUGUUUUGACGCUGAGGCACGAAAGCGUGGGUAGCAAACAGGAUUAGAUACCCUGGU
rnacentral:rRNA from 1 species